GUGGGGAAUAUUCCGCAAUGGACGAAAGUCUGACGGAGCAACGCCGCGUGAGUGAUGAAGGUUUUCGGACUGUAAAGCUCUGUUGUUUAGGACGAAAGUGCCUGUUGCAAAUAGUUACAGGUAUUGACGGUACUGAACGAGGAAGCCACGGCUAACUACGUGCCAGCAGCCGCGGUAAUACGUAGGUGGCAAGCGUUGUCCGGAAUUAGUGGGCGUAAAGAGCAUGUAGGCGGGAAUCUAAGUCUGUUGUGAAAAUGCGGGGCUCAACCCCGUAUUGCGAUGGAAACUGGGUUUCUUGAGUGCAGGAGAGGAAAGGGGAAUUCCCAGUGUAGCGGUGAAAUGCGUAGAUAUUGGGAGGAACACCAGUGGCGAAGGCGCCUUUCUGGACUGUGUCUGACGCUGAGAUGCGAAAGCCAGGGUAGCGAACGGGAUUAGAUACCCUUGUAGUCC
rnacentral:rRNA from 1 species